rnacentral:snRNA from 1 species
AUCGCUUCUCGGCUUUUUGGCUAAGAUCAAAGUGUAGUAUCUGUUCUUAUCAGCUUUUAAUUGAAUCUUUAUUUAAUUAAAAAAUUCGCACUGUCUAUUUCCCCGAACGUUCGGGGAAAUAGCUUGUGUCUAUUUCUCCGAACGUUCGGGGAAAUAGCCAGUGUAUAUUGGCUGGCUAUUUCCCCGAACAAU